CCGGCGAUGACCCUGCAUUCAAGGAAGCCCGUUCCCUUUAUCUAGCGACGGCAGGAGCAAGGGGACGGGGUGAAACGUCGUGAGUCCUCUUCUCUCAACCCACUGCACUCCGAACACCGACUGAACUCUAAGAAUACACACCUCACAUUAUUCAGAGAUCUUAUGUCAGUCGUUAUUGCAUUUCAUUCAUUUUAGUUUUGUUUCUCUUAACAGGAACGUCUUGGUGGGUGAAGGCUAUGCCUAUUCCAACUAUCGACUCGUCAAGAACACAGAGACUUCCAGUAUGGAGCUGCCAGAUGUGACCUCUCCCUCCCCAGCAGUAACCACCAGCGGGUGGUGAAGAACUCCAUCAGACUAGCCUCAACAGGCAC